CCUACGGGAGGCAGCAGUGGGGAAUAUUGCACAAUGGGGGAAACCCUGAUGCAGCGACGCCGCGUGAGUGAAGAAGUAUUUCGGUACGUAAAGCUCUAUCAGCAGGGAAGAAAAUGACGGUACCUGACUAAGAAGCCCCGGCUAACUACGUGCCAGCAGCCGCGGUAAUACGUAGGGGGCAAGCGUUAUCCGGAUUUACUGGGUGUAAAGGGAGCGUAGACGGCAGCGCAAGUCUGGAGUGAAAUCCCAUGGCUUAACCAUGGAACUGCUGUGGAAACUGGGCAGCUAGAGUGCAGGAGAGGUAAGCGGAAUUCCUAGUGUAGCGGUGAAAUGCGUAGAUAUUAGGAGGAACACCAGUGGCGAAGGCGGCUUACUGGACUGUAACUGACGUUGAGGCUCGAAAGCGUGGGGAGCAAACAGGAUUAGAUACCCGAGUAGUC
rnacentral:rRNA from 1 species